CAGUAUUAGAACUUUCCCGCUUGUUUUUUAUUUCUUUUUUAUUUUGUAAAAUGUUUCCGAUGAUUGUUCCUUACGCACUGAAGAAGAUCGCAGUUUGUAGGCGGGCGAAAUGUUUGCUUCGUUUCUUGACGUCGAUCCCGUCGUCGAUGUACUUCAACUCCUAGAGAUCAGAAUCCACAACCUCCGUCCGGAUUCGUCCAUGAUCCCGAUUUCGGUAUAGCUGAUCUAGAUGGUGCAGAAUCGCAGUACACUAUGGAAGUACGCAAUCCGGAACCCGGAUCCGAGACUGGAAACUUCAGUGGUUCUCGUGGUGUGAAUGAGGAAGCUCCCGCUCCGCAACGGAGAGGGAAUGGCAAAAGAGCUCUUUGGAACUUUCAAUUCAAAAAAGGAUAGUCUGAAAGUAUGAGCUUCUCCUUUGUGGUGCUGGUGAAUAAUAGAUAUGGCGAAACGUGAAUGUAAUAAUUGUCGGGAGGCAUUCCGUUGCAUCGGGAUCCUUGUAAGCUAUGAAGCAAAUUAACUUCAAUUCAUCGUCCGCUCACGAAAGAGCGUAACUAAAUUUCAAUUUUGCCAAAUUUCCCCUCGCCAAUUGCAUCUUCAACAGGCAACUCUUGGACAUUCCUGACUUAAAAUUUCACUAAUUGUCCUUUGAAAAAUUUUA